GACGACGCUGGCGGCGCGCCUAACACAUGCAAGUCGAACGGAGACAUCUUUAGCUUGCUUUAGAUGUCUUAGUGGCGGACGGGUGAGUAACACGUGAGCAACCUGCCUUUCAGAGGGGGAUAACGUUUGGAAACGAACGCUAAUACCGCAUAACGUAUACGGACGGCAUCGUCUGUAUACCAAAGGAGCAAUCCGCUGAGAGGUGGGCUCGCGUCCGAUUAGGUAGUUGGUGAGGUAAACGGGCCCACCAAGCCGACGAUCGGUAGCCGACCUGAGAGGGUGAUCGGCCACAUUGGGACUGAGACACGGCCCAAACUCCUACGGGAGGCAGCAGUGGGGAAUAUUGGGCAAUGGGGGAAACCCUGACCCAGCAACGCCGCGUGAAGGAAGAAGGCUUUCGGGUUGUAAACUUCUUUUAAGGGGGAAGAGUAGAAGACGGUACCCCUUGAAUAAGCCACGGCUAACUACGUG
rnacentral:rRNA from 1 species